rnacentral:misc_RNA from 1 species
GGCAGAUCUGAGCCUUCGGGAGCUCUCUGCC